rnacentral:misc_RNA from 1 species
GAGGUUCAGGUUGCCUGAGAAUGCUAAGAUGGAUAAUGUGAAAGCUAGCUUGGAGAAUGGUGUGCUUACUGUAAAAGUUCCCAAGGAAGAGAUAAAGAAUCCUGAGGUGAAGUCCAUUGAGAUAUCUGGCUAACUUUUAGUCCUAAUCUUCAUAUCCCAGCAGCUUCAGCAUGAGUUACCUCAAAUAAAGUGCGUGUGAGAUGUGCUUGUGAUUUUCUAUUUUUAUUUUUGUUAAAAAGGACUGGUGUGAGCUUCUUUCCAUAAAUAAAGGUUAAGAUUUGGUCAAGAAUUUCAAUUGGUU